AUAAGGCCAAUUGUGGCUGCCAUUAAACGAGUUUCUCUUCACCCUCAACAUAGAGCCUCAUCUCUGUGGAGGGGACAGCUAGAUUGUUAUAAUCACUAUACUCCCUUGGAUUACAAAACUUGCUCUUGUAAAAGCAGCCUGCUUUACACUCUGGAAGCUGGAUCCUCAUCCUGGGUCUAGAGUGGGUGGAGGACAGCGAGACCCUAAGCUGCAAUGAUGACUGUGGGGUUUACGGUGGUUAUGGUGUCUGGUGCAGUGUUUAUGGUACUCAAGAAUUACUAGGAAGCAGUAAUUGGCGGUGGCACCAGUGGUCCGUCACAGUGUGUGUCUAUAUAUGCCUGUAUGUGCCUGUCUGUGUACAUCUGUACAUGUAUGUCUAUGUACGUGUAUGUCUGGUUGUGCCAUUGUCUGCCUGUGCCUGUAUGAACUUGUAUCUGUCUGCUUGGGUCUGUGUGUGCACCUCUGUCUAUAUGUGCCCUGCGUCUUUAUGUAUGCAUCUGUGAAUUUGUGUGCCUUAACAUGUAUGUCUUUAUGUACGUAUCUGUCUGAGUAUGUUGAGAGACAUAUAUUGCAGUUCUUGAAGGGUGGCAUUUGAGAAAGACCCAGGUGUGGGAUUUUGAGUAGGGUUUACCAAAUUUGUUUUAGACUCAAACCCCUGGUAUAUGAGCAUAGCAACACCACUGAUUAAUAUUUAUCCAUUAUCGCUAUACAGAGCAUGCAAACUGCAAGGCAGGACGUAAAAAGAAGCAUCACAAGACCAGGACGCACACUACAGUCAGUGAACCAGGUACCCAACUAUCUGCGGGUAGCCUGUAUUUCCCCAUUCUCUUUCACGGUGCCCAACAGGUCAACGUACUGCAUCCCCUCCAUAUACCAUGCGUUUCCUCACCUUCCACUCCCUGUAUCCUGCAUUCCCUCACCUCAACUUCCCUGUACCCUGCAUUCACUCACUUCCCCCGUUACUGUAUCCUGAAUUCUCUCACCUCACCUUCCCUGUACCCUGCAUUCACUCACUUCCCCCGUUACUGUAUCCUGAAUUCUCUCACCUCACCUUCCCUGUACCCUGCAUUCACUCACUUCCCCCGUUACUGUAUCCUGAAUUCUCUCACCUCACACAUUCUAUCCCCUCCCAUCCCUGUACUGUACAUUUGCCUCACUUCCCUCCCUGUACCCUGCAUUUCCCUUACCUUUCUCUCCCUGUACCUGUUCCACUUACCUUUCCCUCCUUGUGCACAUUCCCUUACCUUUCCCUCCUUGUACCCUGCAUUCCCUUACCUUUCCCUCCUUGCAUUCCCUUACCCUGCAUUCCCUUACCUUUCCCUCCCUGUACCCUGCAUUCCCUUACCUUUCCCUCCUUGUACCCUGCAUUCCCUUACCUUUCCCUCCUUGUACCCUGAUUCCCUUACCUUUCCCUCCCUGUACCCUGCAUUCCCUUACCUUUCCCUCCUUGUACCCUGCAUUCCCUUACCUUUCCCUCCCUGUACCCUGCAUUCCCUUAUUCCUUUACUCCUGUACCCUGUAUUCCCUUACCUUUCCCUCCCUGUACCCUGCACUCUCCCUCCUUGUACCCUUUCCCUUACCUCUGUAUUCCCCUUUCCCUCCUUGUACCCUGCAUUCCCUUACCUUUCCCUCCCUGUACCCUGCCCUUACCUUUCCCUCCCUGUACCCUGCAUUCCCUUACCUUCCCUCCUUGUACCCUGCAUUCCCUUACCUCUCCCUCCUUGUACCCUGCAUUCCCUUACCUCUCCCUCCUUGUACCCUGCAUUCCCUUACCUCUCCCUCCCUGUACCCUGCAUUCCCUUACCUCUCCCUCCUUGUACCCUGCAUUCCCUUACCUUUCCCUCCUUGUACCCUGCAUUCCCUUACCUUUCCCUCCUUGUACCCUGCAUUCCCUUACCUUUCCCUCCCUGUACCCUGCAUUCCUUUACCUCUCCCCCCAUACCCUGAAUUUCCUCUCUGCCCUCUCCCUGUAUCCUUCCUCAUUAUAUUCAUUAAUGUCACUUUAAUCCCAUCCUUUCUCUCCCCAGAAGAGGAAGAAGAGUUAUCAAAUACAACACAUCAUUUUCGGAGACAGGAAUCUGAG
rnacentral:lncRNA from 1 species